rnacentral:rRNA from 1 species
AAUUGUUCGCAAUGGGCGCAAGCCUGACGACGCAACGCCGCGUGGAGGAUGAAGAUCUUCGGGUCGUAAACUCCUUUCGAUCGAGACGAAUUCCUUCGGGGUAAACAAUCCCGGAGGUUGACGGUACCGAGAGAAGAAGCCCCGGCUAACUACGUGCCAGCAGCCGCGGUAAUACGUAGGCAGCAAGCGUUGUUCGGAGUUACUGGGCGUAAAGAGUGCGUAGGCGGUUGCUUAAGUUUGGUGUGAAAUCUCCCGGCUCAACUGGGAGGGUGCGCCGAAAACUGGGCAGCUUGAGUGUCGGAGAGGUAUGCGGAAUUCCUGGUGUAGCGGUGAAAUGCGUAGAUAUCAGGAGGAACACCUGUGGUGUAGACAGCAUACUGGACGAUAACUGACGCUGAGGCACGAAAGCGUGGGUAGCAAAC